rnacentral:rRNA from 1 species
CCUGAACGCUGGCGGCGUGGCUAAGACAUGCAAGUCGAACGGACGUAGCAAUACGUCAGUGGCGGACGGGUGAGUAAUGUAUCGCUAAUGUACCCCGGAGUCUGGGAUAGCUGCCCGAAAGGGCAGGUAAUACCGGAUGACAUCCCCUUAUCGCAUGAUGAGGGUCUCAAAGGAGCAAUCCGCUCUGGGAGCAGGCGAUAUCGUAUCAGGUAGUUGGNGGGGUAACGGCCCACCAAGCCGACGACGCGUAGCUGGUCUGAGAGGACGGCCAGCCACAUCGGGACUGAGACACUGCCCGGACUCCGUACGGGGGCUGCAGUAACGAAUCUUCCACAAUGCACG